UCAGGCCUAACACAUGCAAGUCGAGCGGGGUUUUCGGAAAAAAAAAAGGACGGGUGAGUAAUGCGUAGGAAGCUACCCGAUAGAGGGGGAUACCAGUUGGAAACGACUGUUAAUACCGCAUAAUGUCUACGGACCAAAGUGUGGGACCUUCGGGCCACGUGCUAUCGGAUGCGCCUACGUGGGGAUUAGCUAGUUGGUGAGGUAAUGGCUCACCAAGGCGACGAUCCCUAGCUGGUUUGAGAGGAUGAUCAGCCA
rnacentral:rRNA from 1 species